UACGAAGGGGGCUAGCGUUGCUCGGAAUUACUGGGCGUAAAGGGCCAGUAGGCGGCCAACUAAGUCCGACGUGAAAUCCCCAGGCUUAACCUGGGAACUGCGUCGGAUACUGGAUGGCUUGAAUUCGGGAGAGGGAUGCAGAAUUCCAGGUGUAGCGGUGAAAUGCGUAGAUAUCUGGAGGAAUACCGGUGGCGAAGGCGGCAUCCUGGACCGACAUUGACGCUGAACGGCGAAAGCUAGGGGAGCAAACGGG
rnacentral:rRNA from 1 species